GGGGCUGACUGGUUUUGACAGCGUGUAAGAGGGGAUGUAAGCAUGCCGGGCGUUGGUGGCGAGGCCCGUUGAUAACCGCUACUAAACAUAUAAACGGCGAAACUAACUACGCUCUUGCUGCAUAAUCGAAGUACAGUAGAUUAUUGCUUUAACCCGGCACCAGGUGCCGGGGCGAGACGUUCUGCAGGCAGUGCCGCCAGACCCUGUCUGAUCACAGAACGCGCGUGAAUACUGGUAUUCUCCCACUCCUUAUCCCGGGGAGUGUGAUGAAUUACAAUCGGGAUUACGGUGUGGCAAGGGUGUCUGUUCCCAUACCAUACCCGACAAUCAAUAACAGAAUAAGCAUGUAGAAAGCCUCCCGGCUGCCCGUUUGGACCCGGGUUCGAAUCCCGGCAGCUCCACAG
rnacentral:tmRNA from 1 species